UCUGGUCUGGGCUGAGUCUGUACCGAACCUAUGCUGAACUCUGAGCGAGGUUUCUGGAAAAACUGGGUUUAGAUGGAGAAACUGAGGCACCACGUGGUUCUUUGUUUUUCCCCAACCUUCCACAUCCAUGAAACAUCAAACUUGGAAUGAUAGUUCAUGAAUAUCUUCUUCCUUCCAGCUAUAUACUGCAGAAAGGAAUUGCCAAUAGAUGAGACGAUCCACUCUUCCACCUUGUUCUGUGCCCUGGUAGUUGGCCGGCUUCACCAGACUACUCACUCUCUGGCUCAAGUUUGCUUCCCAUAGAUGGUCCUGGCUGGUCUGGUAAUCUCCCCUCAACCUGUGGAAUUUUCAGACGACUCUUCUUCAAACGCAAACAUGUCCUUAUUUCGUGAUUCGAAUAUUCUAAAAUACUCAGAGAAUGGUUAUCAGAGUCCGUGGCUGCACUGGAGUUGACGAUGAAUGCAGUUGGUGAGAUGAGGAAACUGAAGCACAGAGAAGACACUUGUCUGAAGUCUCACAGCUAUUAAAUAUCAGAAGUGGGAUGGAGGUAGUCUGUCCCCAGAGCCCACAGUCUGUCACAGCAACACAGUGCCUGAGACGUUUUGAGUUUGCUGUACCAGCUAGAAUUCCUGAAUGAGAAUCAGGAAAUCUGGACCCAGCUAUUCAUCGCCAUCCAUCCAACCAUCCAUCUUCGAUUCAUGGAGUCAAACAAGCAUUUGUAGAAUGCUGCUAUUUGCCUGGAGUGUCUCGAAUACAAUGUGACUUGAUGAAGUAAUACAAACUUUUCUAGUUCUGCUUCCUUGCAUUUAAAACUAGGCGAUUUGAAAAACCUUUCUCUAGGGUCUCUCUAUUAACAAAUGAAUGCUUUUUACAGUUCUUGUAUGUGCUGACCUCUGGAUUUGACAAAGGAGCACAAUGUUUCAAAGUCCAGCCUGGGCACCACCUGCAUCAGAAUCUGCUCAGUGAAAAAGCAGAUCCUGAGGCUGCCCCAAACCUUCUGAAUCAGAAACACUGGGAGUUGGGGCCCAGGACUUCUGGUUUUAACCAAGUUCUCCGGGUUAUUCUCAUGCACACUUAAAGUUUGAAAGGAUACGAAAUAAAGAUAUAACAUAGGCUCUGUGUCCUAAAAAUAUCUCCCUUAUUAAAAGACAAGCCUUACAGGUUUGGAAAGAGAAACAGGGCAUACCUGCGUGUAUCGGUCACCUGGCCGUCUCCCCCACCCCACCGGAACCUGCGACC